AGAAAGCAUGACAGGAAAUUGAUGUUUGCCUCACCUCUCGACACUUUUACAGACAAGAGAUGCUGUACUCUGACAUGACCCUCCAACACAGCAGAGUGGAGUUGGGGAGAGGGGGCUUGCAAGUCUGGAUAGAAGCAAAAAAGGGGGGUGUCAUGUUGCAGUUUGGAAACUACUGAUCUCUGCCUCCUUUCCUGUUCUUCUCUACUCUUGGCAACAAGUACUUUAUCAUCUGUGUGGAACAAGCACCAAGGCAGUCCCUCUCUUACAUCUUUGGUUAUAACAUCCAUUACUGUGUUAAAAAGGAUGGAGCAAUGCAGAUCCUUGAUGUAGUCCUACUUUAACUUAGAAACUGUCUGUCAUUCCAGCCAUGCCAUUUCCAUAAGUUUCACUCCGACAUUUUUCUUGCACUUCAUUCUCCUUAAGACAUCUCCAUACCUCAUGCCUUGGCACUCUAUCAUGUGCUUUCUCAAGGUCUAUGAAAGCCAUAUGCAAUACCCUUUGCUUUUCUCUGUACUCAGAUGGCCAGUGUUAGGAAUUAUGGGGCCCAAUUGGAAAACUGAUAGCAGGGCCUUUACUCUACAAAAGUAAAAAUUGAUGUUUGUUUUGUGUAGUGUGCCAGUGUCAGCCAAAAAGCAUUAAAUGCUUGAUAUACUAAAUAUUGGAAGACAAUAAGAAAGUUUUAUUUUUUUUUUCAAUUUUAAGAUUAACACAUGUGCAGAGGCCCCUUGAGGCAUGUGACCCAAUUUGAUCAAAUCAAAUAGGCUUAAAACCAGCCCUGCCUGUACUUUUUCAUUACUUGUCAAAAAUCAUAUUCCAUCAACAGUGCAAAGGCUCUUCAUGAAUCCUAACUGCUGCCUUCUGAUGAUAACUUCUUGUCAUAGUCUUCCAUCUAAAAUUUUCUUGAAUAUUUUCAGUGUGUGUAAGUGUAACAUAAGUUUGAUCCCUCUUUAGUUUUCAUAACCCUGCAUAUCUUUUUAAUUAAAGACUGGUAUAAGAAUACCCUCCUUUUCCAGGGAUUGUUUCCUUAUUCAUGAUGUUCUUCACAAGCUUCCACAACACACCAAUUCCCUCCUCACCCAGUGUCAUCAGUUAAUCAGCAGUAUACACAAGCUAAUUAGGGUUCUAAGAAAUUUUCUAGAAUAACUAAGCUUUUUGUGAAAUACUACCAUAUAACAUUGAUUUAAUGAAGGAAGCAGUCUCUCUAACCCAUUCCUACUAUUAGAUGUAGAAUCUCAUUACCAGACCUACAUUACGCAAAAAAUUAUGGUAAUUAAUUUAUCACAAAUAAGUUCCAGUCAGUCAGGCUACACCAUGUGUAGAAGCCAGGCAGUAACAGAAGCUGUAAGAACUCCUUGAAUUUUUCUAUGAAAAGGUGUGUUCUGGACUGCUACAUGGCAUAAAGGGGAUUUAAUGUAGAAUUUUAUUUUUCUUUUUUAUUUUAUUUUUGUCAUUCAUGUACUUAUCAGUUUGUUUUUGUACUCUUUAUCAUCAUUCAUCUGCUUUUCAUCUGUGCCAAAUGUUUUAUGUCUGGAUGCCAGUUGGCUGGCAGUUUAUUGUAAAUAAGUACAUAAGGAAUUUACAUGGAUUCACUUUCUUCAAAAGAUGUUAUCUAGAAUUUUAACUGUAAACAUAAUAAAUUCCUUUAAUAA